rnacentral:ncRNA from 1 species
CUGACUCGGAUCAGACGUGAUUACCCGCUGAAUUUAAGCAUAUUAUUAAGCGGAUAGGAAAAGAAACUAACCAAGGAUUCCCCUAGUAACGGCGACGGUGAACGCGGGGAAGAGCCCAACACCGAAUCCCUUGGGCGCAAGUCAACGGGAAAUGUGUGGUGUAAGGGUAGCCUCUUUCGUGUCAAGUCUAGGCGUCUCGAAGUCCACCUGAUUUGUGGCUCAAGGCCCAGAGAGGGUCCGUAAGGCCCCGUGUAGAGCACGCUCCGACUGAUUCCUGGGGUUUACCUACGAAGUCGGCUUGUUUGGGAAUGCAGGCCAAAAGCGGCGUGGUAAACUCCAUCCAAGGCUAAAUACUGGCACGGAGCUCCGAUAGCGCGACAAGCUACCCGUGAGGGAAAAGUUUGAAAAGAAACUUUGAAGAGAGAGUUCAAUAGUACGUGAAAACCGCUUAGAGCGCAAAGCAAACGAUGGUGCUGCAUAACUGGCCUGAGGCAAUCAACUGUGACGGUGGCUGGACGAGCUGGCGUUCGGAUCUCUCUUUUGGGACGCGGCGUCGGUUUGGCUAUCAGACUCUGACAUUAGGCCGGCACUUGUCCUUUGGUGGCCUCCGCGCCACGACCGACGACACUGCGCUACCGCGGGGCUGGGGUAAGGUGAGCAGUGACAACUGCUUCGGCAAAUUUUGUGUUAUUAGACCCCGGCGUCGGGACAUGGUUUGGCCAGGACGUCGAGCUUGCGGCGCCCGCCUCCUUGUGGGCUCGCAUGUUGGCUAGCUUGGCUGCGGCCGAUGCUUGCAACUGGACAACCAGUACAGGUGACGGUUGUGGUCUUGUCUCUAGAUUGGCCCUCUGCGAGUUUGGCGCCUAUAGUCUGUGGUGGUACUUGUGGGUAGACUAUCCGACCCCGUCUUGAGAAACACGGGACCAAGGAGUCUAACAUCGUGGCGCGAUGUCAUGGGGAUUCUACGAACCCAAAGGGCGCAGUGAGUAAGUAAGGCCCUGCUUCUCGUAGGCUGAUGGUGGGAUCUCGUGCAUCGCGAUUGGCGAGCGCACCACCGGCCCGUCCUAUCUCUGUCUCUGUCUUUGUCAGUGGGGCGCGCAAGAGCGUACACGUUGGGAGACCCGAAAGAUGUGUGAACUAUGCUUGCCGCAGCUCGAAGUCAGUGGUCAGUGGAAAAUGGCGGACUGAUGCGGAGUGAGCGUGCAAGCGUAUUCUGACGUGCAAACGAUAUCGUAGCAAACGUUGAGUAAGGGCGAAAGACUAAUCGAAACCAUUCUAGUAGCCUGGUUCCCUCCGAAAAGUUUCCCUCAGGAUAGCUGGCACUCGGGAAACAGUUUUAUCCGGUAAAGCGAAUGAUAGAGGCAUUGGGGUCGAAAACGACCUCGACCUAUUCUCAAACUUUAAAUGGGUAAGAUGCUCGUCUCGCUUAAUUGGAGGCGGGCUUCACCUCUCUAAGUGAACGUGAAUGUUGAGUGGCCAGCUGGGCCAUUUUGUGGUUAAGCAGAACUGGCGCUGUGGAUGGAACCCAAACGCGCGGCGUUAGGCGCGCCAAUGCGUACGGACGCUCAUUGAAGACACUCCACAAAAGGUGUUGGUCGAUACUGACAGCAGGACGGUGGCCAUGAAGUCGGAACCCGCCUUAAGGAGUGUGUAACAACUCACCUGCCGAAUCAACCAUGCCCUGAAAAUGGAAUGGCGCUGGAGCGUCGGGGCCUAUAACCGUGCGUUGUUGGGGCGAAGCAGACAAAGUAAUCUGUGUGAUGUCCCACACGAGUAGGAGGGUCGCCGUGUGUGAGCGCAGAAGGUGCGGCCGUGAGGGCCGGCUGGAGCCGCCACGGGCUGCAGAUCUUGGGGGUAGUUAGCAAAUUACUCAAGUGUGAGAACCUUGAGGACUGAAGUGGAGAAGGGUUUCCAUGUGAACUAGCAGUUGAACAUGGGUCAGGCGUCCUAAGCGAUCGGUGUUAACUCCGUACCUAGACGAUGGUGACAACUAUCACUUAACUAAAUUGUGACGUGUUAUAGCCCUCCCGGAGCCGAAAGGAAAUCGUGUUAAUAUUUCACUCGACCUUACCGUGGAGAUCGCCUUUCGCGGCGGGCAAGUUGCGCCGAGGUAACAGCAAACGACACAGAACGUCGGCUGGAGCCGGAAGAGUUUCUCUUUUCUUUGUAAGGAGCCCGUACCCCCUGUAAUCGGCUUGUCCGGAGAUAGGGGCGUCGAGCUUCCGCUAAAGCAGCGCCGGUCUUGCGCUGUCCGGUUCGCACGUCUAG